GUCCUCUCUCCCGAAGGCCGGGGGGAGUGGGCCGGGGGGGCCCUUUCUUCCUCAGCCAGGCGGAGGCAAAGAUCCAGAUCUUGAGGAUCAUUUUUAAGCACUGCCCAUGUGCGGGGAAACCUUGUUUUUCCUCCCCAGACAUUU
rnacentral:snoRNA from 1 species